rnacentral:rRNA from 1 species
UACGGAGGGGACUAGCGUUGUUCGGAAUUACUGGGCGUAAAGCGCACGUAGGCGGAUUUGUAAGUCAGGGGUGAAAUCCCGGGGCUCAACCUCGGAACUGCCUUUGAUACUGCAAAUCUCGAGUCCGGGAGAGGUGAGUGGAAUUCCUAGUGUAGAGGUGAAAUUCGUAGAUAUUAGGAAGAACACCAGUGGCGAAGGCGGCUCACUGGCUCGGUACUGACGCUGAGGCGCGAAAGCGUGGGGAGCAAACAGG